rnacentral:misc_RNA from 1 species
CUGAAGAAAAAGCAUCGGCUAACUCCGUGCCAGCAGCCGCGGUAAUACGGAGGAUGCAAGCGUUAUCCGGAAUCAUUGGGCGUAAAGGGUCCGCAGGUGGCGAAUAAAGUCUGCUGUUAAAGACCGGGGCUUAACUCCGGAAAGGCAGUGGAAACUGAUUAGCUAGAGUACGGUAGGGGUAGAGGGAAUUCCCAGUGUAGCGGUGAAAUGCGUAGAUAUUGGGAAGAACACCGGUGGCGAAAGCGCUCUACUAGGCCGAAACUGACACUGAGGGACGAAAGCUAGGGUAGCGAAAGGGAUUAGAUACCCCUGUAGUCUUAGCGGUAAACGAUGGAUACUAGGUGUAGCUUGUAUCGACCCAAGCUGUGCCGAAGCUAACGCGAUAAGUAUCCCGCCUGGGGAGUACGCACGCAAGUGUGAAACUCAAAGGAAUUGACGGGGGCCCGCACAAGCGGUGGAGUAUGUGGUUUAAUUCGAUGCAACGCGAAGAACCUUACCAGGGCUUGACAUGUCGCGAAUCUAGCGGAAACGUUAGAGUGCCUUAGGGAAUGCGAACACAGGUGGUGCAUGGCUGUCGUCAGCUCGUGUCGUGAGAUGUUGGGUUAAGUCCCGCAACGAGCGCAACCCUCGUCCUUAGUUGCCAAUAUUAAGUUAGGCACUCUAGGGAGACUGCCGGGGACAACUCGGAGGAAGGUGGGGAUGACGUCAAGUCAGCAUGCCCCUUACGUCCUGGGCGACACACGUACUACAAUGGUUGGGACAAAGGGCAGCAAGCUCGCGAGAGUAAGCGAAUCUCAUCAAACCCAGCCACAGUUCAGAUUGCAGGCUGCAACUCGCCUGCAUGAAGUAGGAAUCGCUAGUAAUCGCAGGUCAGCAUACUGCGGUGAAUUCGUUCCCGGGCCUUGUACACACCGCCCGUCACACCAUGGAAGCUGGCUACGCCCGAAGUCGUUACCCUAACCCGGUUUUGGGAGGGGGAUGCCGAAGGUAGAGCUAGUGACUGGGGUGAAGUCGUAACAAGGUAGCCGUACCGGAAGGUGUGGCUGGAUCACCUCCUUUACAGGGAGACCUAGUCUAAUUACCAAUAGAUGAAAAAGUUGGUAAUUCGCAAGAAUCCUUAGGUCGUGAAGGGAGCAAGAAAAAACUUUCAAACUGUAAUGGGUGAGGGUACUCGGGCUAUUAGCUCAGGUGGUUAGAGCGCACCCCUGAUAAGGGUGAGGUCCCUGGUUCAGGUCCAGGAUGGCCCACCUGAAAUACACAGGCAGGAUGCCACAAAAAAAGGAAAAAAUUUUAGCAUUGUCUCUUGUAAUCAAGAGCAAGAGAUAAUGCUGGAAUCUAUUCC